AUGGAGUGUAAUUCUUCAGAUGUGCAAAUGUCACACUGCGCUGAGGGUUCCGAGACUACAAUAGAGAUCAAAAUCAAGACUUUGGAUUCCCAAACAUACAAUUUGCGCGUGAAUAAAUGUGUGCCAAUUCCUCUGCUAAAGGACAAAAUAGCUACCGUAACUGGAGUAUUGUCUGAACAACAACGUCUGAUUUGUCGUGGGAGAGUCUUGAAGGAUGAUGAACUUCUCUCUGCUUAUCAUGUUGAAGAUGGCCAUACGUUGCAUCUUGUUGUUAGACAACCAGGCCAGCCAGCUGCAUCAGGAAAUGCAGGAAAUGAAGCUAGUGUAUCAAAUUCAACUCGUCGUCAUGGUCGCACGGUUCGCAGUAUUGUGCUUGAGGCUGUAGAUUUGGACCAGGGGAGUGAAUUCUCUAGCAUUGCCCAGAUUCUCCAGAGCAUGUUGACCAGCCCACAAGUUCAGGGUGGAUCAGCACCUUCUGAUACCAGACCUUCAGAACCUAUGCAAUCUUCAUUCCCAAAUGAUGUCAGGGUCGAACUUGAUCAGCAGCAGGCUUCUCUGCAUUUCCCUGAAGCGGCAGUUGGAUCAUCAAUGCCAAAUGUCAUCCCUGAUUCCGUGAGUACAAUUUCUCAGUACAUUAACCUUAUGAGGGACUCGUUUAGGAGGGAAGGCUUCAAUGGAAAUGCACAAACGGUGGGUAACAUUGACCCUGGAACUGCAGGAAGUGCUCAUGCUAGUGGUACACAAAGCCAGGAAAGCCAGCCUGGUUCAACUUCUGCACAUCAUGUACUUCCUACUGCAGCAUUGCUAGCUGAAACCAUGCACUCUACUAGACAACUUCUUGUUGACCUGGCUGGAGAAUUGCUAUCUCAACUCUCGACGCAAUUGGGAGAUCUUGGGAAUGUAAGUGACUCCACAACACGGAGGAACCUUCAACAGAGUGCAAUGAGACAAGGUGUUCUCCUCCAGAGUCUUGGUUCAUUACUUCUAGAACUUGGUCGCACCACAAUGACGCUUCGUAUCAAUCCCGCACCUUCAGAAGCGGUUGUAAAUUCUGGACCGGCUGUUUUUAUUUCUCCAUCUGGGCCAAACCCUCUAAUGGUUCCUCCUGUUCCGUUUUUUCCAGGACCAAGAUCUGUCCAAAUGGGUCAGAUGUUUUCUAGUCUUGGUUCGCAAGGCUCUGUUCUACACCCAAGAGAUGCUGAUGUCCAUAUCCGUACAAGUGGGUCUGUGCCUGUAGCCAGUACUAACCCAAGUGAAUCGGUUGGGGCACAGCAAGCACAAGAACAUACAGAUAGAACUGGCAAUGCUUCACAUUCAAACGCUAGAGGAGCAUUUGCACGAGUUGCAGGUGGUGCUCCUUUUGCUGUUGGGUCUGGAGUUAGACUAUUGCCACUUAGGACAGUUGGUGCUGUGCCUGCUGGCAUCAGUCGCUCUCCAUCGGGUUCUUCUAGUGGAGGAGUUGGUGUUAUCAUUCCAAUGAUCACCAGAGUUCAUCAAAGAGUAAAUUCUAAUGGUAGCGGUGCACGAAAUGGUCAAACUCCAAAUGAACCUCAUAGUGACACCCAUGCUAAUCUGCAACCGAAUCCUCAGCCAUCUCAAGCACGUGAAGCAGGUAAUCUGGGACAUGCGGUUGAGGUCAAUGUGGGGAACACUUCGCAGGCUUCCCAUGGUCAGCAGAAUGGCCAGGGUCCUUUUUCUCAGUUGAUGGACAGUCUCCAGUGGAUUGGAUCACUGUUUUCUGGAGAAAAUCCCCCAGCAAAUGGUACAAGUCAGCAUGCACCAGCGGCUUCUGCUGAGCCGGUAGAUGCUAGAAACCAUGCAGUACCUGAAGCUUCAGUGGCCAGUGACGAGGGGAUACGCUUUGCUAAUUUGGUCAGGCAAAUUAUGCCACAUAUCUCCCAGGUUGAAAACCAGCCUCAAAGCACCCCUGCAGACACCAGCAAUACUCCUUCACAGGCUGCUGUGCCCGAGAGCGCAAACGGUUCGAGGGAUGGGCCAAGUGAUUCCAGGAAUUCACGUCAACAUAACCGCGACCCAGUUGACGGGCCUAAUUCUAAAAGGCAAAGGAGGUAUUGCGCGUCUCGCACAUGUUUAUAUAUUUUCUUAUGA
rnacentral:rRNA from 1 species